rnacentral:lncRNA from 1 species
CUUCUCGGUGGCCUAGAAAAUAUAGCAAAAAAAAAAAAAAAAAAAAGCCCUAUGUUUGUGUUUUAUGCCCAAGGAAGAACCUUUAGGGUUAGGGUUAUAAUUUCUGGGUGGAAUAUUUAGCAUAAUUACAUUCAUAUUCAAUAGGGAAUCUUUUAGAAAAUCACUGCUUGGAAUGCUGUUCUAUAAAUGUUCUAUCGUGAGCCAAAUUAAACAUGUUAUAUGCCAAGUUCUCAGUCUAAGGAAAAACGUUACCAUCUGCUGUAAUUAUAUAGAAUGAGAAAGAUAGUGAAUGUAUUCCCAUUUAUUGAACACAAAAGAGACACUUUUAAAACAAAUUGUUGGGCCGUGUUCAGUUUGUGAUGUUUUCACUCAAGCAGAGUAAUGUCUACAUUUACUCAGUGUUAUGGAUUAGGUUGUUAAGUAUACUCACAUUUUACUCAAACCUUGCAAAUAUUCCUUGGCCAGAAGGAGAGUGCAAUGAAACAUGAUUCUGUCUGUAAUCAGUUAAAAAUAUCCAAACUGACAAUUUGCUUGGGUGACAGUUUACUUGGGAUUUAAAUCUCUCUCUAAUGAGGUAUAAGAGUAGUUUCACUCAAAUUUUACAGUUAAGGGAAUUUCUACUUAAGUUAGAAAUACACAUUUCCCCCAACAUUUCUUAAGUUCUGAAUUAGGAGUAAUACCAUUUUUGUAAAUUCUUCCUAAAUUUCUUUGAUCGAAAGAAAUAAAAUAUGAUCAGUUCGAAUACUCCUUAUCUGUGAACAAGAGUUAUAUUUAUAAGAUGGAUGCAAAUUAUCCAGACUUUACUAAACAGCAAAGAAAAUGAUGCACAUCAUCCCUGAAGUAGGCCUCUUAUUUACACACUUUCUGUAUCAAAAUGAAGUAUGGAUCCUGGCAAAUCCACUAUACUUUAUUCUCAAAGCCACUGGGCAUUUUUCACAGCAAUCUUGGCUGCCUUCUGUAAAUUGUUUUUUUCCUACAACAUACAUUUCUCUCUUUCAUACUCCAAAAUACAUUAUUUAUGUGUAUGCCUAAUUCUGUUAUUGGGAAAAGUAAGUUAAUUUUUAGAGUUAUUGAUUUUACUUUGUCCAACAUAUGUUGUUCUUUCCUUUCUGUGACUAAAACAAAAGAUAUAUGAAAGAAACCAAAAAAAUCAAUAUUUCUCUGAUAACUGUGUUACUUAAAAAUCACAUUUGGUUCAGAGAAAUGCAGGAUAUGAGGUAACAUUACGUGUGAACCAAAUGUUCUAAGCUCCUUCCUCCAAGCAUCUUUCCAUAACCACCCUCACCUGCUUCUCUCUAUUAAGUACCACACCUGUGUACUUCAAUAAUAUACUAUAUUACAUUUACUCCAUUUAUUAUAAUUAUUAGUGUGCAUGCUGUCUCUGUCAUAUUGCUAGCUUAUUAAGGACAUUAGAUUGUAUUGUUUAUGUUAACAUAUGCUUUCCUAAGUGUAAAAGAAUAUAUUGCUCAUUGUAUUAGGGUAAACUUUAACAUUAAGGAACAAAGUGGUAAAUUGUUCUAGAUUCUUCUUUAGAUUGGCUUAUGCUGUUUUUCUGCAUGAAGUCAGUUUAAAAGAAGUUCUCCCCUUUAUCUUAGUGUGGCAGACUCUGGAAGAACCGCAGAGGAUUAGAGGGAAAAAUGAAACAUACAUAGAUCUAAUCUAUGCCCAGGAAUAAGUCAAAAGGCUAACAGUAAUAUUAAUAAUAUAAGCUUCUAUUUAUUGGGUAACUACCAUGAUCCAAACACCUAUGACACCUGUUAUAAGUGAUAUUAAUGACAACCUUCUUAAAUAAGUAAUUGAUUUUAGGUUGAAAACACACCCUCACAACUCCUUUUAUAUUCCGCUGCAGCAGAAGGAGGAACUUACUUGCUUCUUUGUCAUUGGGACCUACUACACUCCUCCUUGCAAAAAACCUGAGUUCCCAAUUUCUCUGUGAAGUCUAUAGUUUGGGCAGAAGGGAAUACGUUUAAUUCAGGGGAAAUGUUAGCAUCUGGUGCAUUGAGCUUAAGACUUUGAAAAAUCUCCUAGGAAAGGCAUUUGAUAGGAGAGUAAGAAUGGAAACUUCUGGUGGGGUCUUGAUCCAGCAAGCUUAAGUUUUCAUGAUGGUUUAGUGAAAUAGAGACUGUAAAUUUCUCACUUUGGUGGUUUGUGUGGCCAGUCCUGUGCUGUACUGCCCAUUUUUAGAACUGAGCUGUUGUUCAGACUCGAUGGGUAACUCUAACAAAUGAAACCUUGUCCAUGGAGUGAGAGGUUAUUUUUUUAAUAAGGUCAUUGACUAUUUUUAUAAGACAUUAGGUUUAAUGGAAACAUAAAUUUCAUCAAAAGUGUUGGUUUGUGACUUGCUGCAACUUGACUUUGAACUGCUUAAGUAGUUAUUAAAAUAUAUAUAUAUGUGUGUGUGUGUGUACACAUAUGUUGGUACUAUACAUGUAAGUGCUCAGAUUUUUUAACAGGAAGGAAAGUCUGAGGAAACAGAAUAUUAUGGGAAAAUAAAGAGACUCCACAUUUGGAAUCUUUAGACAUCAAGAAAUACGACAAUUAUGUGCUGUGUUAAUUGUGCUGUGCUUCUAAGCCCAAAUACAGGUAGGUAGAGUGAAUGAUUUGUCUAUCCUAGAGCACUGGUUUGUGAGGUUCUGAAUUUUAGGUAGUAAAUAGUGCUAGAGAAGCUCAAUGAAAUGCCAUUUUUUAUUUGUGACCAAAGAAGAGCAAUUUGAGGGGCUAUCCUUAUAUUUAAGUAGUUUAUCCAUAGUCACAAGAGACCUCCAUCCUCUCCCCAUAUGGCCAAUUUGGCUUUGGUUGUUCAGUUGAAUGGAUUUGGACCUGUGUCCAUAGAUGUGGAAUUAGAGACCUAAUAGAUAUGGAAUUAGAGACCUAAAUUAUACAGUCUUUGAAAGCACAUAACAAAACUGGUCAUCAUGGUACACUAAGGACGCCACUAUAAAAGAAUUAAUAACAGCUUCAUUUCAGAAAUGUGCUGAAGAAUAUUCUCCAGCUGAUACAUUCUCCUGCAUAUAAGGCAUGUUUUACAUGCCUAAGAAAUUACAUACCAGAAGGAAGAAUAUAUGAAAAGAUCUAUUCAAAAGAAUGUAAAUGCUAUGUUAAUAGAUUGACCUAAACUCAUUUCAGCUCUGGAAUUUCAGAAAUAUGGAGAGUAGAGGAGACAUGAAUGUCCACAUAUUAAUUGAUUUAAAUAAGCCAUAUGAAAAAGAAGGUCACAUCAAAUAAGACAUGGUAUUUGACAACUGCUAUACUUCCAAUCUGUAAAAUUUGCCAGAAGUCUACCAUUGCUCAAGCAACACUGUCUGAAUUCUCUAGUUAUGGUAAUUACAUAAUGAAAAAAUUAAUAUUUUGAUGGAAGAGCCCUUCAACUGUAUUAAAGGAUGUUUUUCAUGGGCCCUAGAUAACUAGUGUUGAUUGACCAAAGGAGAUCUGUUUUCUUUCCUACCUGUAGGAGAGAGAGUGUGUUGUUUCUCCUUUUUUUAUUGGAUGAAAAGAAAGCCACAAGAGAAGUACUCAUAAAUUUGAGGAAUAUUUCUAAACAUUAAUUGUUUUUAAUUUUUGUUUGUGUUUUUAAUUUUUAAUAAUUGUUUUUGUUUUUAAUUUUUCUUCCAAAUUUAGUCAUCUGCUUAUUCAUUAGCCUGUGGAGCUGACCCUGUAUUACUGGAGCAAGGAAGAAGGGCAUUUUAGAGAUAUGAUAUGGCAAAGUAUUCCCAAGGAGGUGGGAGAGCAACACCUCUAGAUUCCAAUGCAUGAAGCCAUUUUCUUAUUUUUUUUAUCCUUAUUUUGACCAAUAUUGAAGAAAUGUAUAAAGAUCAAGAGACAGUGAAAAAAUUUAUGUGAAAGAGCCACAAACCAUCUGCUUCUCUUUAAGCAACCCAUGCUUCAAUUGCAAAGCACUGGAGAAAUUUUUUAAAAAAUGCCUACUAUCCAAAGCCAUCUAUAGAAUUUAGGCCUCAAAAUUCCAAUGGCAUUCUUCACAGAGAUAGAAAAAGCAAUCCUAAAAUUUGUAUGGAAUCAUGAAAAUUUUGAAUAGCCAAAGCAAUCCUGAGAAAGGAAAGCAAAGCUAGAGGAAUAACAUUUCCCUAUUUCAUAGGAAUAACGUUUUCCUAUGGUAAUCUAUAGUCACUAAAACGCUAUGGUACCAGCAUAAAAAUAGAUACAUUUCCCAGUGAAAUAAAAUAGAGAGCCCAGAAUUUAUUCCCUACAGAUAUGGUCACGUACUAUUUGACAAAGGAGAUAAGAACAUCCAUGAGGAAAGUGUAGCCCUUUCAAUAAAUGAUGCUAGGAAAACUGGAUAAACACAUAUAGGAAAUGAAAUUAUACCCUCAACUUAUACUGCUCACAAAUAUUAACUUGAAAUGCAUUAAAGGCUUAAACAUAAAAUUUCGUGCCAGAAUAUGCCUAGAAGGAAAGAUAGGGAAGAAUCUCCUCAACAUUGAUUUGGCAAAGAUUUUUCUGUAUAUGACACCAAAAACACAACAAAGGAAGAAAACAAAUAUGAUUACAUCAAACUUAAAAGAUUUUGCAUACCCAAAGAAACAAUAAACAAUGAAAAUUCAGCCUACAGAAAGGAAAAAUUUUAUAAACCAUAUACCUGAUGUGAGGUUAAUAUUUAGAAUUUACAGACUCAUCUAAUUUAAUAAUAAAAUAACAAAUCCAGUUAAAAUGGGUAGAUAAACUUUGGAUGUCCAAGGAAGACAUCCAAAAGGCCAAUAGCUACAUGAAAAGGUGCUUAACAUGACUAUUCAUCAGGGAAAUGCAAAUCAAAAUCACAAUGAGGUAUUACUUCCCACUUGUUAUAUAAUAGGUUUCAUCAAAAGAUCAAAGAUAAAAAAUAUUGGUGAGGAUGG